GACCCGCACAAGCGGUGGAGCAUGCUCUUCAAUUGGCUGAUAACCCAAGAACCUUACCAAGGCUUGACAUGUAUGAAGUAGUGAAGCGAAAGCGGAACGACCGGUAUCCAGUCCGGAGCUUACACAGGUGUUGCAUGGCUGUCGUCAGCUCGUACCGUGAGGCGUACCCUUAAGUGGGUUAACGAGCGCAACCCCUACUGCUAGUUGUAUCACUCUAGCGGAACUGCCGUCGCAAGACGGAGGAAGGCGGGGAUGACGUCAAGUCGGUAUUGCCCUUACGCCUUGGGCUAGAAGCGUGCUACAAUGGCCAGGACAGCGAGUUGCGAAGCCGCGAGGCUGAGCUAAUCUCUUAAACCUGGUCUCAGUUCGGAUUGGAGUCUGCAAUUCGACUCCAUGAAGC
rnacentral:rRNA from 1 species